AACAUCCAAGUGGAUCUGCCAAUGGACUUGCUGCUAAUGAUGUCACAAGACAUAACCCUGCAACUGCAAAUGCUUUAGCAACCAAAAUGUAUGAGGACAGACUAAAGCUUCCACUUCAGAGGGAUUCCUUGGAUGAAGCGUCCAUGAAGCAAAGAUUAAGUGAUAAUGUGGGCCAGCUUCUGGAUCCAAAUCAUGCCUCAUUGUUGAAGGCAGCUGCAUUGGGUGGCCAACCUCCGGGGCAAGCACUGCAUGGUAUUCCUGGGGGCUCAGGAAAUCUGCAGCAAGCUCAAAACCGGAAUCAGCAGCUUCCUGUGUCUACCCAGGACAUAAAGAGUGAGAUCAAUGCCAUGAUAAAUCCCAGGAGCGCUGGUACAGAUGGAUCAUUGAUUGGAGUUCACGGACCAAAUCAAGGGGGAAGCAAUUUGACCUUGAAAGGAUGGCCUCUAACAGGAGUGGAUCAGCUUGGGCUUCUUCAGCAUCCGAGGUUGAUGCAAUCCUCUCAGGCACUCAGUAAAUUGCAGUUACAACAGCAGUUGAUCCUUCAAGCUCAGCAAAACUUGUCAUCACAAUCUAUCAAUGAUUUGGAGCGAAGAAAACUGAGAAUGCUUCUUAAUAACCAGAAUUUGGGUCUUGGGAAGGAUGUCCCUUUAAAUUCUGGUGAUGUUCUUGGUAACUUUGGAUCACCAAUGCAAGUAAAUAGCCCUAUAUUGCCUCGUGGAGACACUGAUCUACUAAUUAAGUUACAGCAGCAACAGUAUCAACAGAUUCCACUUGCGAAUCAGCAGUCUCAAAAUUCAAAUCACAGCCUUCAGCAACAAGAUAAGAUCAUCGGUUCUAGCAGCAUGACAAUGGAUGGUAGCUUGGCAAACACUUUUCAAGGAAAUGACCAGGCUUCAAAAAGUCAAAUUGGACGAAAGAGAAAGCAGCCAGGAUCGUCUUCAGGCCCUGCCAAUAGUUCAGGCACUGCUAACACCACUGGACCUUCCCCAAGUUCUCCUUCAACACCUUCCACUCACACACCCGGGGAUGCUAUUUCAGUUCCCACUGUGCCACACAAUAAUGGUUCUUCUAAGUCUCUGCUUAUGUUUGGGUCUGAUGGAAUGGGCUCCCUCGCAUCUGCUUCAAAUGAACUGGCUGAUAUAGACCGUUUUGUGGAUGAUAGAACUCUGGACGACAAUGUAGAAUCUUUCUUUUCUCAUGAUGCUGCAGAUCUUAGAGAUAGAGUUGGUCAAUCCGCAGAUAUCAGCAAAGGUAUUCCAUUUUCGGAGAUCCGGCCUAUUCCUGCGAGUACAAGUAAAGUUGAAUGUUGUCACUUCUCAUCGGAUGGAAAAUUGCUUGCAACUGGUGGGCAUGACAAAAAGGCUACAUUGUGGUGCACAGAGUCAUUUACAGCGAAGUCCACCCUUGAAGAGCAUUGUCAAUGGAUCACUGAUGUCCGUUUCAGCCCAAGCAUCUCACGUCUUGCAACAUCUUCAGCUGACAAAACUGUCAGGGUUUGGGAUGCUGAUAAUCCAGGCUACUCGCUUCGCACAUUUACAGGACAUUCUACAACUGUGAUGUCAGUGGAUUUCCAUCCUAGUAAAGAGGACCUUAUCUGUUCAUGUGAUAAUAACAGUGAGGUUCGCUACUGGAGUAUAAAGAAUGGUAGUUGUGUUGGAGUCUUUAAGGGCGGUGCUACUCAGACAAGGUUUCAACCUCAUUUUGGAAGGAUCCUUGCAGCUGCUGCAGAGAAUGUGGUAUCCAUACUAGAUGUUGAGACUAAAAUGUGUAGGCUUAAAUUCCAGGGCCAUAAAAACCAAAUCCAUUCUGUGUGUUGGGAUCCUUCUGGCGAGUAUGUGGCAUCUGUGAGUGAUGACUUGGUUAGAGUGUGGACGGUGGGCUCCGGCAGUAAAGGGGAAUACAUUCAUGAAUUGAGCUGUACUGGCAACAAAUUUCAUACUUGUGUUUUCCAUCCCACUUACUCGUCUCUGCUGAUCAUUGGCUG
rnacentral:misc_RNA from 1 species